AUUUAAAUAUUAUUCCUAGAGGAAACAAUGUUCUGCAGGUUAUGAAGAUGGUGUUAUUAAGGUGUGGGAUUUAAAGACAGCUAAAGCAUUGACAACAUUCAAAGGAAAUUCUUGUCACCAAGACAGUGUGACAUCUUUAGAUUGCCAUGACAACAACAAUCUCAUCUUGUCAGGAUCUGUUGAUGGGUCAAGCAAGAUAUAUAAUUGUAAUACUGGGAAGG